CGCGGGGUAGAGCAGUGGCAGCUCGUCGGGCUCAUAACCCGAAGGUCGUUGGUUCGAAUCCAACCCCCGCAACCA
rnacentral:tRNA from 1 species